rnacentral:ncRNA from 1 species
GAAGGAAGGGCCCUUCGGAGUCGGCCUGCAGGGGCAGGCUCCAAACCACCACGAGCUGCGCGGGUAAAGAGUCCGCGUGGUGAGCGUCGUUGGAAAAAGGCAGAGUUCGACUCUGUCAGGU